CCUGUUCAAAUAUUUCAGCUCCAUGUUUGGAAGGAGAAGAAUGGGAUGCUACAAGUAAAAAAUGUGUACCAUGUCCUGUAGGAGAAUACCAGGAUACAAAAUAUGAGGAGAAUUGUAAACCAUGUGGUACAGGCAAAUCUACACAAUCCAUUCGUUCUACACAGGAGUCGGAUUGUGAAUCAACUACAUGUGGGCCCGGAGAAUGGAGAUGUUUAUCAGGGGUUGGCUGUGCUGACUUUGAUGAGAGGUGUGAUGGCAUAGCAAAUGAUUGUGCUGAUGGCAGUGAUGAAAGUGGCUGCUCUUGCCAGUCAGGAGAAUACUUUGAUACAACAUCAUCACAAUGUAAAGAUUGUGAAAAAGGGACGUACCAAGAUCAGUCUGGUCAGUUAUCUUGUAUACAAUGUCCUGUAGGCUUCACAACAGCUGGAUGAAAAAACAGACAGUAAAUCUGGUUGUAUAGAGAUCUGUGAUGAUGGUGAGAAGUUUGACCCAGCUCCCCCUGGUGCUUGUGUACAAUGUCCAGUUGGCACAUAUCGGAAAAAAGGAACAGACAACCCAGAGACAUGUAAAACAUGUCCAACACCAUUCACAACAGAAAACACUGGAGCAGCAGACAUUGGAGAUUGUGUUCCAAAGUGUGCUAAGGGAGAGUACUACAAAGAGUUACCAAAUGCAGGCUGUACAGAGU
rnacentral:lncRNA from 1 species